rnacentral:rRNA from 1 species
UACGGGGGGGGCAAGCGUUGUUCGGAAUUACUGGGCGUAAAGGGCUCGUAGGCGGCCAACUAAGUCAAACGUGAAGUCCCUCGGCUUAACCGGGGAACUGCGCUUGAUACUGGAUGGCUUGAGAUUGGGAGAGGGAUGCGGAAUUCCAGGUGUAGCGGUGAAAUGCGUAGAUAUCUGGAGGAACACCGGUGGCGAAGGCGGCAUCCUGGACCAACACUGACGCUGAGGAGCGAAAGCCAGGGGAGCAAACGGG